AGGCAAUACCUACCCAGUAUUACCUACCCAGUAUUACCUACCCAGUAUUACCUACCCAGAACAGGUAACCAGGCAUUACCUACCCAGAACAGGUAACCAGGCAUUACCUACCCAGAACAGGUAACCAGGCAUUACCUACCCAGAGCAGGUAACCAGGCAUUACCUACCCAGAGCAGGUAACCAGGCAUUACAUACCCAGUAUUACCUACCCAAAGCAGGUAACCAGUCAUUACCUACCCAGAACAGGUAACCAGGCAUUACCUACCCAG